rfam:Desulfovibrio sp. FW1012B chromosome, whole genome shotgun sequence.
GGGCCUGUAGCUCAGGUGGUUAGAGCGCACGCCUGAUAAGCGUGAGGUCGAUGGUUCAAGUCCAUCUAGGCCCA